GACGAACGCUGGCGGCGUGCUUAACACAUGCAAGUCGAACGGAAAGGCCCUGCUUUUGUGGGGUGCUCGAGUGGCGAACGGGUGAGUAACACGUGAGUAACCUGCCCUUGACUUUGGGAUAACUUCAGGAAACUGGGGCUAAUACCGGAUUGGAGCUCCUGCUGCAUGGUGGGGGUUGGAAAGUUUCGGAGGUUGGGGAUGGGCUGGCGGCUUAUCAGCUUGUUGGUGGGGUUGUGGCUUACCAAGGCUUUGACGGGUAGCCGGCCUGAGAGGGUGACCGGCCACAUUGGGACUGAGAUACGGCCCAGACUACUACGGGAGGCAGCAGUGGGGAAUAUUGCACGAUGGGCGGAAGCCGGAUGCAGCAACGCCGCGUGCGGGAUGACGGCCUUCGGGUUGUAAACCGCUUUCGCCUGUGACGAAGCGUGAGUGACGGUAAUGGGUAAAGAAGCACCGGCUAACUACGUG
rnacentral:rRNA from 1 species